AGUGAACGCUGGCGGUAGGCCUAACACAUGCAAGUCGAACGGCAGCACAGUAAGAGCUUGCUCUUACGGGUGGCGAGUGGCGGACGGGUGAGGAAUACAUCGGAAUCUACUUUUUCGUGGGGGAUAACGUAGGGAAACUUACGCUAAUACCGCAUACGACCUACGGGUGAAAGCAGGGGAUCUUCGGACCUUGCGCGAUUGAAUGAGCCGAUGUCGGAUUAGCUAGUUGGCGGGGUAAAGGCCCACCAAGGCGACGAUCCGUAGCUGGUCUGAGAGGAUGAUCCGCCACACUGGAACUGAGACACGGUCCAGACUCCUACGGGAGGCAGCAGUGGGGACUAUUGGACAAUGGGCGCAAGCCUGAUCCAGCCAUACCGCGUGGGUGAAGAAGGCCUUCGGGUUGUAAAGCCCUUUUGUUGGGAAAGAAAAGCAGCAGGUUAAUACCCCGCUGUUCUGACGGUACCCAAAGAAUAAGCACCGGCUAACUUCGUG
rnacentral:rRNA from 1 species